rnacentral:tmRNA from 1 species
GGGGGCGACCUGGUUUCGACAGGGGUUGCAAAGCAGCGCAGGGCAUACCGAGGGCUGGUCACCUCGUAAAUACAACCGGAAAUCAAUUAAACGCUAACGAUUCUAGUUACGCACUGGCCGCUUAAUCCCGGCUAGCUCCACACCGCUUCUUCCCUGGGGCGGGCCAGCAAUGGCAGUGGAGUCAUUCACAGGGAAUCGCGCAAAGCCGGGUCACUUGGCCAGCGCUAAACUUAAGGUGACUCGCCUAUCCGCAGCGUGCACGUCCGCGUCGGAGUGGUUAAAUCAAAUGGCAGUGCUAAGUAUGUAGAACUGUCUGUAGAGGAUUUCUGGACGCGGGUUCGAUUCCCGCCGCCUCCACCA